GAUUGUCUUGUUUGAUUUUCAAAGAGCUUUUCAUAUCAAAUCAUUAUGCAGGUUGUUUCUCAAACCCAUUGAACAUAAUGAUCGGACGUCAUCUCCCAAUUUUGAAUUCCCUGUAUUCGAAGCGGAAGAAGAUGAUGCUUGAAGGGAUUCCUGACGAGAUUUCCCAACUUCUUGAGCAAGAAAAGAAGAUCACUCAGCUGUAUCUCGAGAAUCAGCAGAACAGCCAACUGGGGCAUUAAGAAAAAAAUCAAUCAAAAAAAAACAAAGAAAGAGAGGGUGCAAAAUCAAAAGAAAUCAAAAGAAAUCAAAAGAAAGAAAAAGAAAGAAAAAAACAAAAGAAAAAAAAUAGCACCCUCAAAGUCCCAAGUUGACUGAUGCUGAAUUCGAUCGAAAAAAAAAGAGAGACC
rnacentral:lncRNA from 1 species